AGAACCGCUAGAGAAAAGAGGAGACUGAAAAUUCCGCAGGGGAAUGAUAGAUUCCAAAGGGGGGAACCCGACUAGGGACAAACAAAGUUCCGUAGGGGAAAAGGAAGAACUCGAGAAUAACCAAUGCUCAGUUAGAAAACGAACUAAAGAUCCAAUGGGGAAUACUUAUCAAAGCAAGAUUUCUCCAGGGAAAUUAAACCAACAAAAGGGGGAAACCCCGUGUAAUACCCCGUAUUUCCUUAAAUACCCAUAUUCCUAUUAAUUGAGAUCAAUUGAG
rnacentral:lncRNA from 1 species